rnacentral:lncRNA from 1 species
AGACAUGGAAAUGGAGAUAGUACAAGAGAAGAAGAGAGAAAGAUUUCCAUUUUGGGAUUCUUUCAAUUUAAAACAGGAAAAUCUUUUUCGUUCUGUAAUUUCGGCGAUACUUAGAAAGUCAAAAGACAGAGGAAGAAAGGAAUCUAAAGAGGUGGAGUUAGAAACUCAAUUUUAAUCCAAUCGAGACAAUGUUAGCUAUUUUUCUUCUUCUUUUUGUGUAUGAAAUUGAAUUACCA